rnacentral:lncRNA from 1 species
GAGCUGCACGCGACCCAGGUGCUGGCCUCUGAGCGGGUCGGCUCGGAGACUACAGGAUCAGGAGGAGGUUGGAGGUGAAGCGUCUGGAAUCCGGUAAAGAUGGACACCUGCAUGAGGGAAGGAAUAUGUGAGCAGCUUCCAUUUCCCUUCCAUGGUCUUCUCAGCUUCCUCCAACAGUAGAUUGUUCAGCCUCCCUAAAGCAGGAGAAGAGGAAGGGGAAGAAAGGUGUUUUUCCGGGUUUCUAAGCAAAUACCUUGCUGCAGAUCUUCAACUGCAGGGGAGGGCAUGUUGCCAGAACAUCCUGUUUACAGAGGCCACUUAAAAUCCUUACGUUAACCCUAGGCAUACUGUGGUCAUCCUUUUCUGGUGGGUCACAUUGGCCCUCCAGAAGUUCUCUAGAACAGGAUCCAAGAUCUCCUGAGGUCAGCUCACUCCGUAUGGUCCAUAUCCUGUCACCACGUGGGAAUUAAGUUCCUAUCUCUGUUUCUCCUAAAUGGCAGGAAAAAAGGUAAAGUUCUCCUAAGAACUCUCUUAACACACUCCCCUUUGGAUCUUAGAGGGACUGGGAUGGAUCGG